AACGAACGCUGGCGGCAGGCCUAACACAUGCAAGUCGAGCGGAUGACGGGAGCUUGCUCCUUGAUUCAGCGGCGGACGGGUGAGUAAUGCCUAGGAAUCUGCCUGGUAGUGGGGGACAACGUUUCGAAAGGAACGCUAAUACCGCAUACGUCCUACGGGAGAAAGCAGGGGACCUUCGGGCCUUGCGCUAUCAGAUGAGCCUAGGUCGGAUUAGCUAGUUGGUGGGGUAAUGGCUCACCAAGGCGACGAUCCGUAACUGGUCUGAGAGGAUGAUCAGUCACACUGGAACUGAGACACGGUCCAGACUCCUACGGGAGGCAGCAGUGGGGAAUAUUGGACAAUGGGCGAAAGCCUGAUCCAGCCAUGCCGCGUGUGUGAAGAAGGUCUUCGGAUUGUAAAGCACUUUAAGUUGGGAGGAAGGGCAGUAAGCUAAUACCUUGCUGUUUUGACGUUACCGACAGAAUAAGCACCGGCUAACUCUGUGCCAGCAGCCGCGGUAAGAC
rnacentral:rRNA from 1 species